rnacentral:rRNA from 1 species
UGGGGAAUCUUGCGCAAUGGACGAAAGUCUGACGCAGCGACGCCGCGUGGGUGAUGAAGGCCUUCGGGUUGUAAAGCCCUGUGGGGAGAGACGAAUAAGUCGGGGAUAAUACCCCCGGUGAUGACUCCAUCUCCUUAGCAAGCACCGGCUAACUCUGUGCCAGCAGCCGCGGUAAGACAGAGGGUGCAAACGUUGUUCGGAAUUACUGGGCGUAAAGCGUGUGUAGGCGGUUCGGUAAGUUGGAUGUGAAAGCCCGGGGCUCAACCCCGGAAGUGCAUUCAAUACUGCUGAACUUGAGUCUCGGAGAGGUUGGUGGAAUUCUCGGUGUAGAGGUGAAAUUCGUAGAUAUCGAGAGGAACAUCGGUGGCGAAGGCGGCCAACUGGACGAAGACUGACGCUG